rnacentral:rRNA from 1 species
GAAGAUUACAUUUCUAGAAUUAGUUAGAGGGCACUGGAAUUCAAUGUGUAGUGGUGGAAUACGUAGAUAUAUUGAGGAACACCGGAGGCUAAGGCGAGUGCCUGGGACAUAAUUGACGCUGAGGCUUGAAAGCGUGGGUAGCAAAUGGGAUUAGAUACCCCAGUAGUCCACGCCGUAAACGAUGGGUAUUAGUCAUUUGAAUUUAAGUUGAGUGAUGUAGCUAACGCGUUAAAUACCCCGCCUGGGUAGUAUAUAUGCAAAUAUGAAACUCAAAGAAAUUGACGGGGACCUGAACAAGUGGUGGAGCAUGUUGCUUAAUUCGUUAAUACACGCAAAACCUUACCAAGGCUUGCAAUCUUCUGCAAAGCUAUAGAAAUAUAGUGGAGGCUAUCAGAAUGACAGGUGGUGCAUGGCUGUCGUCAGCUCGUGUCUUGAGAUGUUUGGUUAAGUCCCGUAACGAGCGCAACCCUUCAUAUUAGUUGUUUAGUUCUAAUAUGACUGAAUCGUAAGAUCUAGGAAGGAUGGGGCCAAGUCAAGUCAUCAUGCCCCUUAUGCCUUGGGCUGCAAACGUGCUACAAUGGUAGAUACAAUGUGUUACAAUCUAGCGAUAGUGAGUUAAUCACCUAAAGUCUAUCUCAGUCCGGAUAAAAGGCUGCAAUUCGCCUAUUUGAAGAUGGAAUCACUAGUAAUCCUGUGUCAGCUAUAUCAGGGUGAAUACGUUCCCAGGUCUUGUACACACCGCCCGUCAAACUACGAAAGAAAGUACUAAUUAAAACCGUAUUUAAUUACGUCUAGAUU